GGGAGGGAGGAUCAUUAC
rnacentral:rRNA from 1 species